AGGCUCUUCUCAGCAGUCUACCCAGGCUGCCAGCGGAGUUAACUGACUGCCCUCUCUCUCCUCUGGGCCUGUCCCAUCUCUUCUAUGUUCUACUACACUGACCGCUCGCUAAGGCAAAGAAGCACAUCUGAGAGUUCUACACAGAGUAGGGUGAAUGGCCUCAUUUUACAGAUGGGAAAAGCUAAUCUCCUUCAGGUGGGCUAAGGAGCUCAAGGAACAAGCGACCAGGUCUCCAGGUGCAGACUCCGGGCGAGUUCAUCCCCUUCCCCAGAACUCCCAGGCGUGCCAACUUCUCCCAAGGAGGCGGAAACCUUGCAUGGAGUAAGUUUGAGUGAAGGAGCUGCGGAACCGAGGAGAGGAGCAUAGUACUGACAGCGGUUCUGCUCUGCUGUAGUCCUGACAACCCGGGCGGGGAUGGAGGCCACGGAUUCCAACAGGGACGAUUGCCCACCCCCAUAGAGAGCAGCCCCUUUUCUCAAGUCCAGGGAAGCUCGGCCCCGCCCCAGCCGCCAUGAUUGUGAAGGGCAGCUUCCGCUCUGAAGAUCCUCGGCUCCGUCAUCCGCCAUGAUUGUGAGGGGCAACUUCCUCCGGCUUCCUAUCCUCCACGUUUGUGUCGAGCAAUGUCCCGGCAAAAUCCCAGCUCCGUCAUCGGCCUUGAUUUGACUUUUUGUUUUAUUUUGUUAAUAGAAAUCCAUUUGCCUCUGCCUCCCGAGUGAUGAGAUUAAAGGCCUGCAUCAC